rnacentral:tRNA from 1 species
GGCGAUGUAGCUCAGAUGGUUAGAGCGAGCGACUCAUAACCGCUAGGUCGUUGGUUCAAUUCCAACCAUCGCCA